CAGAGCCGUUAGUCCCCCCCUCGUGUUGGACCCUCUGCCCCACACCCCACUCCAGGAGACCACCCAGAGGUCCAUGGGAGGACCCAGAGGUCCAGGAGACCACCCAGAUGUCCAAGAGACCACCCAGAGGUCCAUGGGGGGAUCCAGAGGUCCAAGAGACCACCCAGAUGUCCAUAAAGGGACCUCGAGGUCCAUAAAGGGACCCAGGUGUCCAGGAGACCACCCAGAGGUCCAAAAGACACCAAGAUGUCCAUGGGGGGACCCUGAGGUCCAUGGGGGACCCAAGUGUCCAGGAGACCACCCAGAUGUCCAUGAGGGGACCCAGAUGUCCGGGAGACCACCCAGAUAUCCAUGAGAGGACCCAGAGGUCCAUAAGGGGACCCAGAGGUCCAGGAGAGGACCCAGAUGUCCGGGAGACCACCCAGAUAUCCAUGGGGGGACCUCGAGGUCCAUAAGGAGAUCCAGAGGUCCAUAAGGGGACCCAGGUGUCCAGGAGACCACCCAGAGGUCCAAAAGACACCAAAAUGUCCAUGGGGGGACCCAGAGGUCCAAGAGACCACCCAGAUGUCCAUGGGGGGACCCAGAGAUCCAUAAGGGGACCCAGGUGUCCAGGAGACCACCCAGAGGUCCAAGAGACCACCCAGAUGUCCAUGGGGGGACCCAGAGGUCCAAGAGACCACCCAGAUAUCCAUAAAGGGACCUCGAGGUCCAUAAGGGGACCCAGGUGUCCAGGAGACCACCCAGAGGUCCAAAAGACACCAAGAUGUCCAUGGGGGGACCCUGAGGUCCAUUGGGGACCCAAGUGUCCAGGAGACCACCCAGAUGUCCAUGAGGGGACCCAGAUGUCCGGGAGACCACCCAGAUAUCCAUGAGAGGACCCAGCGGUCCAUAAGGGGACCCAGAGGUCCAGGAGAGGACCCAGAGGUCCAAGAGACCACCCAGAUGUCCAUGGGGGGACCCAGAGGUCCAAGAAACCACCCAGAUAUCCAUGGGGGGACCCAGAGAUCCAUAAGGGGACCCAGGUGUCCAGGAGACCACCCAGAGGUCCAAAAGACACCAAGAUGUCCAUGGGGGGGCCUUGAGGUCCAUAAGGGGACCCAGGUGUCCAGGAGAGGACCCAGGUGUCCAGGACAGCACCCAGAUGUCCAUGGGGGGACCCAGAGGUCCAAAAGACCACCCUAAUAUCCAUAGGGGGACCCAGAGGUCCAUAAGGGGACCCAGAGGUCCAAGAGACCACCCAGAUGUCCAUGGGGGGACCCAGAGGUCCAAGAGACCACCCAGAUGUCCAUGGGGGGACCUCGAGGUCCAUAAGGGGACCCAGGUGUCCAGGAGACCACCCAGAGGUCCAAAAGACACCAAGAUGUCCAUGGGGGGACCCUGAGGUCCAUGGGGGACCCAGGUGUCCAGGAGAGAACCCAGGUGUCCAGGAGACCACCCAGAUGUCCAUGGGGGGAUCCAGAGGUCCAGGAGACCACCCAGAUGUCCAUGGGGGGACCUCGAGGUCCAUAAAGGGACCCAGGUGUCCAGGAGACCACCCAGAGGUCCAAAAGACACCAAGAUGUCCAUGGGGGGACCUUGAGGUCCAUUGGGGACCCAGGUGUCCAGGAGACCACCCAGAUGUCCAUGGGAGGACCCAGAGGUCCAUAAGGGAACCAAAGGUCCAGGAGAGGACCCAGAGGGCCAAGAGACCACCCAGAUGUCCAUGAGGGGACCCAGAUGUCCGGGAGACCACCCAGAUAUCCAUGGGAGGACCCAGAGGUCCAUAAGGGGACUCAGAGGUCCAGGAGAGGACCCAGAGGUCCAAGAGCCCACCCAGAUGUCCAUGGAAGGACCCAGAGGUCCAAGAGACCACCCAGGUGUCCAUGAAGGGACCUCGAGGUCCAUAAGGGGACCCAGGUGUCCAGGGGACCACCCAGAGGUCCAUGGGGGCACCCAGAGUUCCAAGAGACCACCCAGAUGUCCAUGGAAGGACCCAGAGGUCCAUAAUGGGACCCAGAGGUCCAGGAUGGGACUUGGUUUUUGGGGUUCGCCCCACACCACUUUGGGAUCUCCACCCCCAACCUCGGUCCCCUCCACCCCGGGCCACACAAUCCGCCCCGUCAUCGAGCCCCAGCGAUGGUGACAUUGUCACCCCGGGUGUCACGGUGACGAUGACACAGUCAUCGUUAAUGAGGCCACUAAUUAUGGGUUACGCCAGCUCUUCUGCUUCCCCCUCCUUGGCCCGGGGGGGUUGACCUCCCAGAACCUCCCGUUGCCCUUGGAUGCCUCCCUGGGGCUGGGGCUGUGGGUCACGGCCCCAUGGAGAUGUGGGUCACAGCCCCUCCGUGGUUGUGGGUCACGGUUCUUCAAGGCUGUGGGUUGGGGGGACCCUUGGAUGUGGGUUGGAAGCGCCCUUAGAUAUGGGGCGUUGCUCCCCCAAGGUCAUUGCUCCCCAUAGUUGUGGGUUGUGUCCCCCCAUUGCUGUGGGUCGUGGGUCCCCGUAGGUCACCAUUCCCCGUGGAUGUGGGUCUGGGGUUCCCAUGGCUGUGGGUCAUGGUUGUCCAUGGGGUUGAGUCGCGGUUCCCUGUAGCCAUGGGUUGGAGGGACCUUUGAGUCAUGGUUUCCCAUGGCCGUGGGUCACAGAUCCCCGUGGCCGUGGGUCACAGAUCCCCCAUGGCCAUGGGUCACUGGUGGUCAUGGCCAUGGGGUCACUGGUCCCCAUGGAGAAAGGUCGUGGGCCCCAUGGAAGUGGGUCAAGGCUCCACGUGAGUGUGGGUCACGGUUCCCAUGGCCAUGGGUUGGAGCCACCCAUGGGUGUGGGGCACCACUCCCUGUGGACGUGUGCCACGGGCCCCACAGAUAAGGGCGGGAAAUGGGUCCCAUGGGUGCUGGUCGUUGCUCCCCAUGGAGGUGGGAGGUGGUGGGACCCAUGGAUGGAGGUGGUGGGACCCAAGGACAUGGGAGGUGGUGGGACCCAAGGACAUGGGAGGUGGGACCCAUGGAUGUGGGAGGUGGUGGGACCCAUGGAUGGAGGUGGUGGGAUCCAAGGACAUGGGAGGUGGGGUCCAUGGAUGUGGGAGGUGGUGGGACCCAUGGAUGGAGGUGGUGGGACCCAAGGACAUGGGAGGUGGUGGGACCCAUGGACAUGGGAGGUGGUGGGACCCAAGGACAUGGGAGGUGGGACCCAUGGAUGUGGGAGGUGGUGGGACCCAUGGAUGGAGGUGAUGGGACCCAAGGACAUGGGAGGUGGUGGGACCCAAGGACAUGGGAGGUGGGACCCAUGGAUGUGGGAGGUGGUGGGACCCAUGGAUGGAGGUGGUGGGACCCAAGGACAUGGGAGGUGGUGGGACCCAAGGACAUGGGAGUUGGGGUCCAUGGAUGUGGGAGGUGGUGGGACCCAUGGAUGGAGGUGAUGGGACCCAAGGACAUGGGAGGUGGUGGGACCCAAGGACAUGGGAGGUGGGACCCAUGGAUGUGGGAGGUGGUGGGACCCAUGGAUGGAGGUGGUGGGACCCAAGGACAUGGGAGGUGGUGGGACCCAAGGACAUGGGAGGUGGGACCCAUGGAUGUGGGAGGUGGUGGGACCCAUGGACAUGGGAGGUGGUGGGACCCAUGGGAGAGGGAGCAAAGCCUGGAGAAGGAUGGACAGACAGAUGAAGUGACCAUGGAGAAGAAAGGAUGGCUGGAGAGCUGGGAUGAAGGGGUGGAGCCCCGUGAA